AAUCAACGCUGGCGGCGUGCCUCAGACAUGCAAGUCGAACGAUUAAGACUUCCUUCGGGAAGUGUAUAAAGUGGCGCACGGGUGAGUAACACGUAAGUAAUCUACCCUCGAGUGGGGAAUAACGUUCGGAAACGAACGCUAAUACCGCAUAAUGCAGCGGCAUCGCAAGAUGACAGUUGUUAAAGGAGUAAUUCGCUUGAGGAGGAGCUUGCGGCAGAUUAGCUAGUUGGUAAGGUAACGGCUUACCAAGGCUACGAUCUGUAUCCGGUCUAAGGGGACGGUCGGACACACUGACACUGAAUAACGGGUCAGACUCCUACGGGAGGCAGCAGUCGGGAAUUUUGGGCAAUGGGCGAAAGCCUGACCCAGCAACGCCGCGUGAAGGAUGAAGUAUUUCGGUAUGUAAACUUCGAAAGAAUGGGAAGAAUAAAUGACGGUACCAUUUAUAAGCUCCGGCUAACUACGUGCCAGCCGCCGCGGUAAUAC
rnacentral:rRNA from 1 species